rnacentral:rRNA from 1 species
GAUGAACGCUGGCGGCGUGCUUAACACAUGCAAGUCGAACGGGAAAUAUUUCAUUGAGACUUCGGUGGAUUUGAUCUAUUUCUAGUGGCGGACGGGUGAGUAACGCGUGGGUAACCUGCCUUAUACAGGGGGAUAACAGUCAGAAAUGGCUGCUAAUACCGCAUAAGCGCACAGAGCUGCAUGGCUCAGUGUGAAAAACUCCGGUGGUAUAAGAUGGACCCGCGUUGGAUUAGCUAGUUGGUGGGGUAACGGCCCACCAAGGCGACGAUCCAUAGCCGGCCUGAGAGGGUGAACGGCCACAUUGGGACUGAGACACGGCCCAGACUCCUACGGGAGGCAGCAGUGGGGAAUAUUGCACAAUGGGGGAAACCCUGAUGCAGCGACGCCGCGUGAAGGAAGAAGUAUCUCGGUAUGUAAACUUCUAUCAGCAGGGAAGAUAGUGACGGUACCUGACUAAGAAGCCCCGGC